AAAGUACUCCCUCCAUUUCAAAUUACUCGUCGCAUGGAUGUAUCUAGAACUAAAAUACAUGUAGAUACAUACAUUUCUGCGACGAGUAAUUCGGAACGGAGGGAGUACUUC
rfam:Triticum aestivum genome assembly, contig: Triticum_aestivum_CS42_TGACv1_scaffold_623102_7DS